rnacentral:rRNA from 1 species
ACUCCUACGGGAGGCAGCAGUGGGGAAUCUUAGACAAUGGGCGCAAAGCCUGAUCUAGCCAUGCCGCGUGAGUGAUGAAGGCCCUAGGGUCGUAAAAGCUCUUUCGCCUGUGAAGAUAAUGACUNUAGCAGGUAAAGAAACCCCGGCUAACUCCGUGCCAGCAGCCGCGGUAAUACGGGAGGGGGUUAGCGUUGUUCGGAAUUACUGGGCGUAAAGCGCGCGUAGGCGGAUUAGUCAGUCAGAGGUGAAAUCCCAGGGCUCAACCCUGGAACUGCCUUUGAUACUGCUAGUCUUGAGUUCGAGAGAGGUGAGUGGAAUUCCGAGUGUAGAGGUGAAAUUCGUAGAUAUUCGGAGGAACACCAGUGGCGAAGGCGGCUCACUGGCUCGAUACU